rfam:Lactobacillus mucosae LM1, complete genome.
UCAACCUUUAAUCUGGUCCCGUGAGGCCUCCAAGGAUGUUCGUUAAAAUAAAAUCUUCGCCCUUUUUAGGGAGGACAUUAUUUGCAUCGUCACUGGUCUCACUUGGCCAGUGACGAUUUUUCU